rnacentral:rRNA from 1 species
UGGGGAAUAUUGCACAAUGGGGGAAACCCUGAUGCAGCGACGCCGCGUGAGCGAUGAAGUAUUUCGGUAUGUAAAGCUCUAUCAGCAGGGAAGAUAAUGACGGUACCUGACUAAGAAGCUCCGGCUAAAUACGUGCCAGCAGCCGCGGUAAUACGUAUGGAGCAAGCGUUAUCCGGAUUUACUGGGUGUAAAGGGAGCGUAGGCGGUCCUGCAAGUCUGAUGUGAAAACCCGGGGCUCAACCCCGGGACUGCAUUGGAAACUGUAGGACUAGAGUGUCGGAGGGGUAAGUGGAAUUCCUAGUGUAGCGGUGAAAUGCGUAGAUAUGAGGAGGAACACCAGUGGCGAAGGCGGCUUACUGGACGACCACUGACGCUGAGGCUCGAAAGCGUGGGGAGAAAACAGG